GUUACCCAGAAGGCCUCGCACGGCCGCUGCCGAAACUGGGAUUUUCCGUUUAUCCUUUUCGCCCGCAAUUGGCGGAACCUGUUGGUGUGGCCCACAAGGCUCAGCGGGGCUGCACGAGGCUAGUUGCUAAGCAAGGGUGACGGUAGUCAACUGUCACCUGGGCCACGGCGACAGGAACUCUCGGAUUUGUUGCUACCCCACGGUCCCCGCCAUGCCUCAUAUCGACAGUGACAUCAAACUGGACUUCAAGGAUGUCUUGUUGAGGCCCAAACGCAGUACCCUUAAAUCUCGAAGUGAGGUGGAGCUCACAAGAUCCUUUUCAUUUCGGAACUCAAAGCAGAUGUACACUGGGAUCCCCAUCAUUGCUGCCAAUAUGGAUACUGUGGGCACCUUUGAAAUGGCCAAGGUUAUCUGUAAGGUUAUUGUUCACUUUGAAAACAGAAUAUGCUGCUCCUGUCAGUAAUAUUACCCUGCCUCUACACUUGUAGCUGAGAAGGUAGUUACUCUGGGCACUCAAAGAACAUAUGCAUUCUUCUGGUUAAUCCAUGUAGCCCUGGUUGAUGGAUUCUGCUGCUGCUUGUGGCUCUGUUAGUCUUAAAGACUUCAUCUCCCUUUCUCUUCUUUCGAUUGCUGUAAGUCUUUGUGGAAUGUCUGUUGUCAACUUCUCUAAGGUUGAUAGUUAAACAGUUUUAGUACUUUAUUGCUGUUGCCAUUCACUAACUGCUUAGGAAUCUUCUUGUUGCCCACUGUCCACCUGCUCUGCCCAGUAGAGUUAAGGAAUAGUGUAUCUGACUUUAGCAUUAACAAACAUGCUAGAAUAGUGGCCCUUGUGGGGACUGUCCUAAUGCUUUAUGUUGAGACUGGUUUUUCAGUACUGCUGAUGAGUGCUAAAGAGAUCAGAUUUUAGAGAUAGAGCCAAGUUUCACAGUAAUAAUAAAGUUGGGAUACAAGCAUCUUUUUCUAGAUCUCUAGCUUGGUAUGUAAUUGGAUGUGCUUAUCACAUCACACUAUACCAGCAUAUCUCCAAGGUCUACUGACCUCAUGGAAUGAUUUUUGUGUAUUAGCACAUUGAUGGCAGAGUGUUGCUGAGGACGUAGAGCUCAAUACCAGCUUUAGCUAGGUAGUGUUGAUGAGUGAGUAUAGCAAUAGCACCUCCUUACUGCUGGCUGAUACAUGACUUCUUUGGACUUUUUUUUUUUU